CUUCUGCAUGCCCACACAGAGCAGGCAGGUCCUUGGGGCUGUAGAGGCUGCAGAGGAACCAGCAGCCAGGAAGAAAAGGCUCCUUCUCUGCACUCCUCCCUGCCCUUGGAGAGGUCAGGGUCACAGCCUGAGGGUCGCCCCUCAAGAGAAGAAACUAUGUCAAAUAUGCACAUACAUUCCUGUUGUGUAAUUCUGCUCAUUACGAUGCUUUGUAGAUUACACCUAAGGCCAAGCCCCAAGAACAACAAGGGUUUCAGAGUGGGGUGCAAGGUGCAGAGUGUGGGAGCAUCAGCUUUGGCCCAAAUCCCAAACAUCUUCAGCCUUGAAUUCCUUGUGACUCUGCCUUGGCAACACUGUGUGGCAGGCAGGCAGGAGCACAUUCGCACAUUAGAAAAGCAAUACUUUUUACAAGAAAUUUUAAAAUGCAUUGUCAUUUUGUUUUUAAUCAAAUAUAUACAUAUAUGUCCCACUGAAUAUGCAUGUCUAGAGAGGAUGGCAAGGAAUUAAAUCAUUCUCAAGAGGACCUUCGGGAAAUCACCAUGAAGUCAGGUGAAAAUGAGCAAGUCCCAUUUGGGGCUUGACAGAGAAAUCUUGAAUUCAGACAAGGUGGGAAGAAGCAUAUUGGCAUCAUUGCCAACUAUAACACUCUUGACCAUUUCUGAGUCAUCAAGUGGCUCCAAUCUGCCCCUAGAAAUGGAAUUAAUCAGGAAGUCCUAGUCAAUGAUGUGCAUCACAGAGUGGCAGGGUCCAGUUCUAUCAGCUAUUCCCAGCCCACAGAAGAAACGAAUCCAAGUGAGAUCCUGGAGAUGGAUUAUUGUCAUUCAGAAGCCACCACGUUCAUCCAUAGCCUCACAGUAAUCCCCAGUGCUAUUCCUGUGAGCAAGCAUCUGCUCUGAGGUGUCAGGGCUCCUAGCUGAAGAGCCCUUGAGCCAUAGCUGCAGCAGGAGUGGGUGCACAGGGCAGGGUCCCCCGCACUGACCUCUCUCCACUGGACAAUUCCUUCUUGAGAAUUCCCUGUUCUCUAGCCCCACACAUGCAUGGUACAUAUUCAGUAGCUCACAUAGAUUAUCUAUGAAUUGUUCUUUCUGAACACUUCUUAUGCCAAAAAAAAAAAAAAAAACCCCACAAAUCUCCCCUUUAUAUAAAAAGAAAAGAGACAUCCAGGUUGGUGAGCCUCCUGCUGAAAACGCAAAUCAUGAGUUUUUCUUGUGGCUGGAAUGCUACCUUGCAUGGCACUCAUUGGGUGAGUCACAAAGCUUCCUGGGACCCCGGUUUCAUCAUCUCUAAAAGCAGAAAUCAUCCUACAACCUACCUCCUGGAGGUGCUUACAACAAACUGCUGAUGGAAGUUUUGGAAUCCAGUUUAUAACCCAUAAAGGCUGUCCUCAGAAAUGGUGUGGAAAACUUCUUUAUGCUAUUGUGAUUCAAGAGAUACCAAGUCUCAGAGCAAGAGCAUUCAUGCGUGUUGAUGCUGCUCAGAGGUGAAGAGGUUGGGGCAAAUAAUGAGGUGGAAAAUUGCUUUAAAUGGAUUUAUUUUGACCAUAAAACAUGUUGUUAGAGCAAAAAGCUACAAUUAUACAUUCUCUGUCCCCGUGCUUUGCAAAUUUUAAUGUGCAUAUAAAUCCUCUGGGACCUUGUUAGAAAGAAGUAAGUCUGGGGUGGGGACUGAGAGUCUGCAUUUCUGAUCAGUUUCCAGAGGAUGCUGAGGCUAUUGGGCUACAUCCACAGUUCAGGUAGCAGGGCUCUGUCCUGUCUUUACUGUUUGUAUAUUAAAAGUGCUGCCUCUC
rnacentral:lncRNA from 1 species